rnacentral:rRNA from 1 species
UGCGCAGGCGGUUUUGUAAGUUUGUCGUGAAAUCCCGGGCUCAACCUGGGAAUGGCGAUGAAGACUGCAAGGCUAGAAUCUGGCAGAGGGGGGUAGAAUUCCACGUGUAGCAGUGAAAUGCGUAGAGAUGUGGAGGAACACCGAUGGCGAAGGCAGCCCCCUGGGUCAAGAUUGACGCUCAUGCACGAAAGCGUGGGGAGCAAACAGGAUUAGAUACCCUGGUAGUCCACGCCCUAAACGAUGUCUACUAGUUGUCGGGUUUUAAUUAACUUGGUAACGCAGCUAACGCGUGAAGUAGACCGCCUGGGGAGUACGGUCGCAAGAUUAAA